rnacentral:rRNA from 1 species
AUUGAACGCUGGCGGCAUGCCUUACACAUGCAAGUCGAACGGUAACAGGUCUUCGGAUGCUGACGAGUGGCGAACGGGUGAGUAAUACAUCGGAACGUGCCCGAUCGUGGGGGAUAACGAGGCGAAAGUUUUGCUAAUACCGCAUACGAUCUACGGAUGAAAGCGGGGGAUCUUCGGACCUCGCGCGGACGGAGCGGCCGAUGGCAGAUUAGGUAGUUGGUGGGAUAAAAGCUUACCAAGCCGACGAUCUGUAGCUGGUCUGAGAGGAUGAUCAGCCACACUGGGACUGAGACACGGCCCAGACUCCUACGGGAGGCAGCAGUGGGGAAUUUUGGACAAUGGGCGAAAGCCUGAUCCAGCCAUGCCGCGUGCAGGAUGAAGGCCUUCGGGUUGUAAACUGCUUUUGUACGGAACGAAAAGCCUCUUUCUAAUAAAGAGGGGUCAUGACGGUACCGUAAGAAUAAGCACCGGCUAACUACGUG